AUGAGCCUGCUCUCCCAAUUAAGGUGCCAGCUACCGCCUGUGAUUGGCUACCAUCGCUCCUACCAGUGCAGUGAACUCCCCCAGUUUAUCCCGGCCCAGCCCCAGUUUAUCCCCAGCCCAGCCCCAGUUCAUCCCCGGCCCAGCCCCGGUUCAUCCCGGCCCAGCCCGGUUUAUCCCGGCCCAGCCCGGUUCAUCCCGGCCCAGCCCGGUUCAUCCCGGCCCAGCCCCGGUUUAUCCCCGGCCCAGCCCGGUUCAUCCCGGCCCAGCCCCGGUUCAUCCCGGCCCAGCCCGGUUCAUCCCGGCCCAGCCCGGUUCAUCCCGGCCCAGCCCCGGUUCAUCCCGGCCCAGCCCCGGUUCAUCCCGGCCCAGCCCCAGUUUAUCCCCGGCCCAGCCCCAGUUCUGUUGCUGACUGUUCUGUUGCUGACUGUCUGCUUCUGUGCCUGUGAUCCCUCUGCAGGUUCUGUUGCUGACUGUCUGCUUCUGUGCCUGUUCCCUCUGCAGGUUCUGUUGCUGACUGUCUGCUCCUGUGCCUGUCCCUCUGCAGGUUCUGUUGCUGACUGUCUGCUUCUGUGUCUGUUCCCUCUGCAGGUUCUGUUGCUGACUGUUCUGUUGCUGACUGUCUGCUUCUGUGCCUGUCCCUCUGCAGGUUCUGUUGCUGACUGUCUGCUUCUGUGCCUGUCCCCUCUGCAGGUUCUGCAUUUCUUCUGUGAUACGUGCUCCGUGCCUGUCUUUAGGGAGGCCAGUGUGGGUUGUCACUCGGGCCACAGCCUCCUCUACCUCCAGGAUUCCCUGCAGGACUCCAGGACCCUCACCAUCCAGCUGCUGGCAGACGCCCAGCGGGGCAGGCACGCUGUACAGCUGAGCAUUGAGAAAGCACAGGCCGUUGCUGAGCAGGUGGAACUGAAGGCCAUGGUGGUCCAGUCAGAGGUCAAAGCCAUCACACAGCGUCAUAAGAAGGCCCUAGAGGAACGAGAGUGUGAACUACUGUGGAAAGUUGAGAAUAUCCGUCAGGUGAAAGCCAAGUCCCUCUAUCUCCAGUUAGAGAAGCUGCACCAGAACCUGACCAAGCUGGACAGCACCAUCUCUACAGUAACCCAGGUCCUAGAGAAGGGCAGUAGUCUGGACCUGCUGCUGGCCAGAGAGAGCAUGCUCCUCCAGAUCACAGAGCUUAAGGCCCUCAGGGAGCUGUUACUGCCGCAGGAUGAUGAUCGCAUCCUGUUCACCACCCCCGACCAGACCUUGCUCCUCGCCAUCCAGUCCCUAGGUCUGGUCAGCUCCGGGGCCUUCGCCCCCCUCACCAAGGCCCAGGGAGAGGGGCUUUGUCGGGGCUUGCAGGGUAAGCAGGCUUCCUUCACUGUGGUGGGGUAUGAUCAUGAUGGAGAGCUCAGGCUGUCUGGUGGGGACGGUGUGUCAGCUGUGGUGGUGGCGUCCGAUGGUAACCUGCUAAAUGCUGAGGUGACCGACCAUCAGAACGGGUUGUACACGGUCAGCUACCUGCCCAAGGUAGAAGGAGAACAUCUGGUGUCAGUCCUUAUCUGCAACCAGCAUAUCGAAGGCAGCCCCUUUAAAGUGCUGGUCAAGUCUGGCCGUAGCUAUGGAGGUAUACCCUUGCCGGUGGCCUCGUUCGGCAGGGAGGGGGACGGAGAUGGGCAGCUGUGUCGCCCCUGGGGGGGUGUGUGUGGACAAAGAGGGCUACAUAAUCGUAGCUGACCGAAGCAACAACAGGGUGCAGAUCUUCAAGCCGUGCGGUUCCUUCCACCACAAGUUUGGUACGCUGGGCUCCAGACCAGGCCAGUUGGACCGACCAGCUGGGGUGGCCUGCGACAGCCAGAGGAGAAUCAUCGUUGCCGACAAGGAUAAUCACCGCAUCCAGAUCUUCACCUUUGAAGGCCGGUUCCUCCUCAAGUUCGGGGAGAAGGGAACCAAGACCGGUCAGUUCAGCUACCCCUGGGACGUGGCGGUCAGCUCGGAGGGAAAGAUCCUCGUCUCAGACACCCGGAACCACCGCAUCCAGCUCUUCAGGCAGGACGGCACCUUCCUCAACAAGUACGGCUUUGAGGGGGCUCUAUGGAAACACUUGGACUCCCCCAGAGGCGUGGCCUUCACUCAGGAGGACCACCUGGUGGUGACAGACUUCAACAACCACCGUCUGUUGAUCAUCCGGUCGGACUGCCAGUCGGCCCGCUUCCUGGGAUCAGAGGGAAGCGGUAACGGUCAGUUCCUGCGGCCGCAGGGCGUAGCAGUGGACCAGGAGGACCGCAUUGUGGUGGCUGACUCCCGGAACCACCGGAUCCAGGUGUUUCAAACCAACGGUAAUUUCUUAUGCAAGUUGGGGACUCAGGGUAGCAGCUUUGGACAGAUGGAUCGCCCAUCGGGUAUAGCUGUUACUCCUGACGGAAGGAUUGUUGCCGUGGACUUUGGAAACAACCGAAUCAUUAUGUUCUAGGCUAGGCAGUUUGUCUGCUGGUUUGCAAAGAAAGAAACAUUGAAGAGGAGAUUUUGAGACACACCCAGCAGAUGCAAAUGUCUUUGUGAGCAAAUGGAGACGGUAAUAUUGAAACUUGACCUUUUCUCUCAGCUUUACCUCUAUUUUGAAAGAGCAAAUCAAUGGAGAACAUGAACCGCUGCCAACAAGGGGUUAUUGUCAUAAGCUGACAUUUUGAACCCUAUAGAAGGCCUUCUGUGACAGUAUCUGGCUCGACAGUUGUUUUUGCUCCUGAUGUGUGCGUCAAAAUCUCUGAUUUUCUCAGGGAAUUUCUUGCAUUCUUGAAAUACUUCCACUGCAUCAUACCUACCUCAUGUAGCUGUGUAUGAAUGUACUCCUUUAUUAUUUGAUGGAGAUUUUGCUAGUGGAGUUUUGAUAAAGUAACUACCUCAAUGCAAGAGAAAAGUAUAGUUAACAUGAAGCAACAUUUGGUUGAUAUUUGCACAGAAAGCACUCACACAUUUUCUCUAAUUGUUACUGUUGACAUAAAGCGUGUGAAAUCCCAGAAUGUUGCUGAGAACAAUGUAUUUCCUGUGUUACAUACAUGUGGAAACGUGGAGUCAGACAUUUUUUAUAAACUCAGCAACUGUUAUUUUUCCAUUUUGUUUUUAAAUAUGCCUUCAUACCUCUGUAAAACCUUUUUUACCUCAUGUCACAACCACAUAGUACCUCAGAACUCCAGUGUCCUCAGGUCAAUAGUAUGCUGAGUCCCAAAUGGCACCCUAUUCCCUAAAUAGUGCACUACUUUUGACCAGGGCCCAUAGGGCACUGGUGCACUAAAUAGCGAAUAGGUUGUAAUCUGAGACUCGUCCUGUAAAAUGGAUUCUCUCCACAAAAUGGCUGCUGCCAGUUUGCUAUAGGCAGGUUGAAUAUUUGAUAUCAGUGACCAUUGUCAGUUCAGUCAGUUGUGUGAUUUCAGGGAAAAAACAUUUAACAAGGAAUUGACCAUCUUGAAUUGGGUGAAUCAUCAGAAUUGUUAUUUUCUGGGCAUCUAUGAAGAAUUGUGACUUGAAACUACUGGCAAUCAUCAUUGUUGUUAGAUGAAUGAAUACAUGUCAGGAUUAAUAUAUCCUAAGGCAACUAGUGCAUUCGGCCACAACAUAGUGAAGAUUAGACAAUGACACAUUGGUGUGGGUUAACUUGGAUUUAAUCUCAACCAUGUCUGAACCUGAGUCUAAAUCUAUUUACUGAUAUCCAUUUAGAAAUCAUUGAAAUCUGUGUAGACUAACUUUCCUAAGAGUAGAGGGGUCUAAGAGUAGUGAAGUUUCAUUCUGAUAUUUUUUGAAGAACAACCUUUGUGCACAUGUUUGGUGGUUUAGAUUGGCACCCUAAUGACGCUACCAUGUUCCUUUCUUUGUGAUCGUUGUUUGAAAAGUCUAUCGUUGCCUCUGGGCCUCGACUAUGUUCCCGUCAAAGAAAGUCAUCCGUUUAGCUUUUUUUCCUUCAAAAUAGAAUGCGUCAAUCAUGGGAAACCGCGAGAAUAUUGUUUUAUCCUGGUGGCAAAUAAAAUAAUUUAAAAAAGUAAAACUGACCAGUAAAUGAAGUAACAGCAUUGAUGUUGAUCUUCAUUGCCUCCAUAGUGUUUUCAAUAGAUAUUCUCCGUAGUAAAACCCCUAGCUGCUUGUCAGUUGCCUGAUUACCCACUCAUGUAGCCUACAGGUGGCUGAGUAACCAAAGCAAAAGGCUCCACAUAAAUAGAAUUCCAUCAGCUGCUGCUCCCACACCCACAUUCACCCUGCUCUGAACUGUGAUGGCAGGGAGUCUGUUGGUCACAUUAGACGUUGGAAUAUCAGUCAGCACAGCAGUUCCUCUCUAUUGUAUGUACCUCUGUCUGAGAGAACAUAACCAAACCAGGUCAUUCAUGGUUCCACAGUGGCUAUUAACUACAGAACAUCAAGAACCAGUAAAAAUGCAAAUGUUAAAAUUGAAUUCAUUUUUUUUUCACCAGCUGUAGCCUGCCCUGUGUUAUAAACUAGCUGUUCAUAGCUAUUAAUAUUGUGCUUAUAGCUUGAACUGUUAAAGCCAAGUCCCACUCUCCUCCCUCUGUGUCUCUGACUGUGUCUAAUGGGCCAGUAUUUCCUGUCUGUUGAGCCACAUUGCCGCAAGUGCUGGUUUACGAGGAGAGCUCGGUUCUUUUCCAAAUGGCACACUAAUCCCUAUACAGUGCACUAAUUUUGACCAGAGCUUUAUGAGCCCUGGUCAAUAGUAGUGCACUAAAUAGGGACUAGGUUGCCAUUUGGCACACCUCUGUGAGUUGGUGAGGCACCAUAGCUGUAGGUCUCCAGCUGCUCUAACCCCCAGAAGAGCUGGAAGGCAUGCAGCUCGCCAGACACACCUCAUAUCUCUUUUACCUUAAUAAUCACAGCUGAAUGUACAGGGGGACCAGUGAGACGUUGGGCUCCAGACACGGCUUACUCGGUUACAUCCUCUUAAUGAUUCAACCAAAAUGGCCACUUUUUAGAUGUUGAGUUUCCAGGUGUUUUAGUGGAUUAUUCACAUUGACACUGUUCCAGUGUUGUAGCUUGUGCCUUUUGAUAUACAGAAGAUAAAUUACACUGUUUCUGGGCAAUUUGUGACCAGCAGGAAAGGCAUUGUGACAAAAACAAACAGUAUAAAUGGACUAUUUGAGGUAAUAAAUAUAACUCUUAUAAAAAUGGCACACCAUCACUGUCAUUUAGUUGUUAAGUAUUUAAUGUUGUCCUUGCUGGUGUGACCCCUGGAAUAUAAAAAAAAUAAUAAUGAUAUAUAUCUAACCAGGCAAGUCAGUUAAGAACAAAUUCUUAUUGACAAUGACAACUCACUGUUCCCCGGUAGGCCAACUGCCUUGUCCAGGGGCAGAAUGACAGAUUUUUACCUUGUCAGCUCAGGGAUUCGAUCCAGCAACCUUUUGGUUACUGAUCCAAUGCUCUAACCACUAGGCAACCUGCCACCCCAUAUAUACCUCAUUAUACAGAAAGAUAUAGGUAUAAUGUACAUCUUUACCUCAGUAUUACUGAGCUACGCCCAUUACCUCAUUGCUGAACCGUUAAUACCUCGUUGGCAUGGUUGCAUUUUUCAAACCUCAGUUGAAUUGCAGUUAGAUGUGUGGUCUUAUAAUGUACUGUUGUUACACUAAAGAAUGGAAAGGGAAGGCUUGGAGAAGUUAUGAACAGUUUGAUCAAGUAGAUUAAACCGAGGACAAUGCUGCUUCAAAUCCACACUGAUCUGAUGUAUUUUCAGUACAUUGUUGGUUCCUAUAUUGUUCCUAUAGUUUGAACUUAAGUUUGCAGUGAAUGUUUCUUAAAAGACCUCAAGGUCUUGACACUUAGAAGA